AUUGACAGGACUGUCAGCGGCUAUGAUGGUGUGUAAUGCUAUUCACAGUCAAGAUACAGUGUGUUAACAAGGAUGGACACUUACUCAACACAGAUGUUACAAACUGUUCACGACAUUCAAGACAUGGGAUGACGCGCAUGUGCACUGCAAAAGGUUUAACGGUGGUUCCCUGGUGUUGCUGACGACACACCAGAGUGUCUCGAAAACAGCCAGGGAUCUCGAGAUAAUGCCCGAUAAAAAAUAUUGGAUUGGAAUAAAGUAUCAGGUUUGGUCUAAG